AGCUAUGAAGCGAGAGGUUGCUGUCAGGACCCAAUGGCAGGUAAUUCCGUGGAGCAAAUGUCAGACACGAAACUGGCGACAA
rnacentral:ncRNA from 1 species